CUGUCACAUGGAGAGUCGCAGCUCGCUGCGGGGUCGUUCUCCCGGGAUGCAGAACAGACAACGCCAGACAAAGCGUGAAGGCGUACAAAAGGCGAGGACUCGCCUGAUGAAGCCGAGAGGGAGGCAGUUUGGAACAUGAAUAUGAAUUAUUCACCGUUCCUGCCCGCUUAUAUAUCGCCCUUGGACAUGACAUUGACGAGGAAAUUGUAUUCCGGGAGCAGCUUUUCCAAACAGACCGGACUGCUGCUGAGUUUGGAAGCGGUCAAUCCACUUAUAGCAUGGUCACUCGUGCCAGAGGAAAAACAAGUUGCUCUGCGUGGGCCCCCAACGUGCAAAACACCAAAAGGAGCAAAUGUGAUCAACCAUCUUUAAGAGGCCCUUUGAUAAUUGGACC